ACCGUACUCCUACGGGAGGCAGCAGUGGGGAAUUUUGGACAAUGGGGGCAACCCUGAUCCAGCAAUGCCGCGUGAGUGAAGAAGGCCUUCGGGUCGUAAAGCUCUUUUGUCAGGGAAGAAACGGUAGUAGCUAAUAUCUAUUACUAAUGACGGUACCUGAAGAAUAAGCACCGGCUAACUACGUGCCAGCAGCCGCGGUAAUACGUAGGGUGCAAGCGUUAAUCGGAAUUACUGGGCGUAAAGCGUGCGCAGGCGGUUGUGUAAGUCAGAUGUGAAAUCCCCGGGCUCAACCCGGGAAUUGAAUUUGAGAUUGCACGGCUAGAGUGUGUGAGAGGGGGGUAGAAUUCCACGUGUAGCAGUGAAAUGCGUAGAUAUGUGGAGGAAUACCGAUGGCGAAGGCAGCCCCCUGGGAUAACACUGACGCUCAUGCACGAGAGCGUGGGGAGCAAACAGGAUUAGAUACCCUAGUAGUCCUUGAC
rnacentral:rRNA from 1 species